AUGCCAUGGUGUGGACAUUCCCUUUGUAGGUCUUUGUAUCUUUUCCCAUGCGUUAUAGAGUGAUUCUCCUUUCUUUUGUCUGAAAGUAUUCAAUUCUAAUCUCAGUUU